rnacentral:rRNA from 1 species
CAGCCGUAAACUAUGCGCGUUAGGUGUACUGGUGACCACGAGUCACCGGGGUGCCGAAGGGAAACCGUGAAACGUGCCGCCUGGGAAGUACGGUCGCAAGGCUGAAACUUAAAGGAAUUGGCGGGGAGGCACCACAACGGGUGGGAGCCUGCGGGUUUAAUUUGGACUCAACGCCGGAAAUCUCACCGGAUAGGACAGACAUAUGAUAGUCGGGCGUGAAGACUCUACUUGAUGAUCUGAGAGGUGGUGCAUGGCGUCAGU